rnacentral:rRNA from 1 species
CCUACGGGCGGCAGCAGUGAGGAAUAUUGGUCAAUGGCCGGAAGGCUGAACCAGCCAAGCCGCGUGAAGGAGGAAGGUACCAAGCAUUGUAAACUUCUUUUGUCAAGGGACAAAAUCAGGCUCGAGAGCCUGACCGAGUGUACUUGAAGAAAAAGCAUCGGCUAACUCCGUGCCAGCAGCCGCGGUAAUACGGAGGAUGCGAGCGUUAUCCGGAUUUAUUGGGGUUAAAGGGUGCGUAGGCGGACUGUUAAGUCAGCGGUAAAAGCCCGGGGCGAAACCCCGGCGAGCCGUUGAACCUGGCUGUCUUGAGAGGUGGAGAGGGAUGCGGAAUGCGCGGUGUAGCGGUGAAAUGCUUAGAUAUGGCGCAGAA